GACGUACCACCCGAACGUUAUUCGGAUUCACUGGGCUUACAGAGUCCGUAGGCGGUCAAGAAAGUUAGGCGUGAAAUCCCUCAGCUCAACUGAGGAAUAGCGCUUAAAAACUACUUGGCUAGAGAGAGUCAGAGGUGAGCGGAACUGAUGGUGGAGCGGUGAAAUGCGUUGAUAUCAUCAGGAACACCGGUGGCGAAAGCGGCUCACUGGGGCUUUUCUGACGCUGAGGGACGAAAGCGUGGGGAGCAAACAGG
rnacentral:rRNA from 1 species